rnacentral:rRNA from 1 species
GAUGAACGCUGGCGGUAUGCUUAACACAUGCAAGUCGAACGGACUCUUCGGAGUUAGUGGCGGACGGGUGAGUAACGCGUGAGAAUCUGGCUUUGGGUUCGGGACAACCACUGGAAACGGUGGCUAAUACCGGAUGUGCCGAGAGGUAAAAGAGAAAUUGCCUGAAGAUGAGCUCGCGUCUGAUUAGCUAGUUGGUGAGGUAAAGGCUCACCAAGGCAGCGAUCAGUAGCUGGUCUGAGAGGAUGACCAGCCACACUGGGACUGAGACACAGCCCAGACUCCUACGGGAGGAAGCAGUGGGGAAUUUUCCGCAAUGGGCGAGAGCCUGACGGAGCAAUACCGCGUGAGGGAAGAAGGCUCUUGGGAUGUAAACCUCUUUUCUUAGGGAAGAACAAAAUGACGGUACCUAAGGAAUCAGCAUCGGCUAACUCCGUG